rnacentral:rRNA from 1 species
UGAACGCUGGCGGCGUGCCUAAUACAUGCAAGUCGAGCGACCAGACGAGGAGCUUGCUCCUCUGACGUUAGCGGCGGACGGGUGAGUAACACGUGGAUAACCUACCUAUAAGACUGGGAUAACUUCGGGAAACCGGAGCUAAUACCGGAUAAUAUAUUGAACCGCAUGGUUCAAUAGUGAAAGACGGUUUUGCUGUCACUUAUAGAUGGGUCCGCGCCGCAUUAGCUAGUUGGUAAGGUAACGGCUUACCAAGGCAACGAUGCGUAGCCGACCUGAGAGGGUGAUCGGCCACACUGGAACUGAGACACGGUCCAGACUCCUACGGGAGGCAGCAGUAGGGAAUCUUCCGCAAUGGGCGAAAGCUUGACGGAGCAACGCCGCGUGAGUGAUGAAGGUCUUCGGAUCGUAAAACUCUGUUAUUAGGGAAGAACAAAUGUGUAAGUAACUAUGCACGUCUUGACGGUACCUAAUCAGAAAGCCACGGCUAACUACGUG